GGCCUUAUCGUCUAACGGUUAGGACGGUACCCUCUCACGGUACAAAUCGGGGUUCGAUUCCCCGUAAGGUCACAA
rnacentral:tRNA from 1 species